rnacentral:rRNA from 1 species
GAUGAACGCUGGCGGCGUGCCUAAUACAUGCAAGUCGAGCGAACAGACGAGGAGCUUGCUCCUCUGACGUUAGCGGCGGACGGGUGAGUAACACGUGGAUAACCUACCUAUAAGACUGGGAUAACUUCGUGAAACCGGAGCUAAUACCGGAUAAUAUAUUGAACCGCAUGGUUCAAUAGUGAAAGACGGUUUUGCUGUCACUUAUAGAUGGAUCCGCGCCGCAUUAGCUAGUUGGUAAGGUAACGGCUUACCAAGGCGACGAUGCGUAGCCGACCUGAGAGGGUGAUCGGCCACACUGGAACUGAGACACGGUCCAGCCUCCUACGGGAGGCAGCAGUAGGGAAUCUUCCGCAAUGGGCGAAAGCCUGACGGAGCAACGCCGCGUGAGUGAUGAAGGUCUUCGGAUCGUAAAACUCUGUUAUUAGGGAAGAACAAAUGUGUAAGUAACUAUGCACGUCUUGACGGUACCUAAUCAGAAAGCCACGGCUAACUACGUG